UACGAAGGGGGCUAGCGUUGCUCGGAAUCACUGGGCGUAAAGCGCACGUAGGCGGCUUUCUAAGUCAGGGGUGAAAUCCUGGAGCUCAACUCCAGAACUGCCUUUGAUACUGGAGAGCUUGAGUCCGGAAGAGGUGAGUGGAACUCCGAGUGUAGAGGUGAAAUUCGUAGAUAUUCGGAAGAACACCAGUGGCGAAGGGCGGCUCACUGGUCCGGUACUGACGCUGAUGAGCGAAAGCCAGGGGAGCAAAC
rnacentral:rRNA from 1 species